UACCAAAAAUUCUAGGUAUUUUUCUAAAAUGUGAUUAAAAAAAAUAAUUCUGUUGUACAACAGGAACUAAAGAACAUACAGAACAAGACUGAAGAUGUAUUUUCAUUACUUAUUCUGCCUCUGGAUUCCCCUCUCCUUUAGUGUCUCUGAAACCCAUAACCCAUGCCAUAAAAUCUGCUUCUGCACAGAAGGGGCAAUGUUUGUGAACUGUUCAGGAGUCAAUGUCAGCUCCGAUCUCAUUUUCCCUCCGGAGACAGAGCACUUGGAUCUGUCAAACAGUCAGCUGCAUUCUGUUCCAAGCAAAGGUCUCAGAUCCCUGUGGAAGUUACGGGUUCUCCUUCUGAGUGACAACUACAUCAGGAGAGUUGAAGAGAGAGCAUUCAUCUCCCUGGAGAGACUCCAUAAGCUUGAUAUUGGUAGAAAUGAGAUCUCCUUUCUUGGAAACAGUUUUUCAUUGGGUCUUGUUACUCUCUAUGAACUCACUUUGGCCUACAAUAGGCUGCAGGAGCUACAGUACAAGAACUUCAAGCACUUCGAAAGUCUUCAGAAGCUCAAUUUGCAAAAUAAUAAUAUAUCAUUGAUAGAAACUGGUGCGUUUCGCAGUCUCACCUGCUUGAGGCAACUUUGUCUUCAGAAUAAUCACCUUCAUAACCUCAACAAUGGAGAUUUUUCUAUGCUGCAACACUUAGAAGUUUUGAACUUGGAGGGCAACAGAAUCAAAACCAUCGGCCCUGGAGUCUUUACUUCUUUAAGCAGCCUCACAAUACUUAACCUGGUGCACAACCAAAUUGAACAUAUUCGAUUCAAGACUUUAUUAUCUCUCCAGACCUCUGGAACUCACAUCUUGCUGUCGGACAACCCAUGGUUUUGUGACUGUGACCUUCAGAGGGUUUUUGCUAAACUGCACAGUGUCAGAAGGCUGAUCCUAGAUGACUAUCACAACGUGACAUGCAUGGAGCCCCAUAUCCUGAGAAACCGUCCUCUGUCAUCUGUGGACACCCAGCUGUGCAUUGCAGAGACAGUGACGGUUCUUGUCAUAACUUUCACAGUCUUUGUCACUGUGGUAGCUGCCAUUGUCAUGGCUGAAAGGAACAGAAAGAAGAGGACAGGCAAGCACUGGAGUGAGGACAGCAAAGUCUCCUAUGAUGCUCAUAACUGAAGCAGCACAUCUUGAGAGAACCUUUCAUCUACUUUGAGUUAUGAGAUUUAGUAAAUCCCUUCAGAUUUUGCAUUCUCUCUUUCCUUGCAAGAAGUUUUUAAUUAUUAUUUCCAAAGCAUAGUUCACCAUUACAAGAAGGAGCAGAAAAUGUAGUUGAGCAGUCAUCGUUUCCAUGAGGGAAAUUUGUCAUGUUGAGGAACAGAUCAGUAGAACCAUUUGUGUGCUGAGGCUCUUCCAGUAGAAAUUAUAUGUACACGCAGAUUAAAUACUUAAAAGUUGUGCAGUUCUGAUUUAUAUAUAUUUGAAUAGUAAUUUUCAUACAGUUUAAAAUGAAACACUGUAGCUUAAAGUGGAAAUGAGAUGGGAUUGUGAGAUGAACAAGCACGAGGGAUUCGUGAGCACAUUAGUAUUUAAUGCCGUUAAUAACUUAGGCCCCAAAUAUCUGAAAAACAGCCUCCUUCCCUACUGACCUUCUUGCAUGCUAAAGAUCAGCAGAUCAACCCUCUCUUUGUAGUUCUGCCACCCUUGGAAGUGCAGAGAAUGGGGGUCCUUUCUUUGUGGCAGCCCCUAAAUUAUGGGACUCCAUCCCCCCAGAAAUGCGCCUAGCAACUGAGUUUUUGCCACAUGCUGAAGACAGACCUCUUCAUCUUAGCCUUUGACAGCUAAGGCAUUUUGUUUGGUGGGACCCCGUGUGGUGUAAUGGUAAUCAGGUGUUGGACUAGGAGCUGGGAGCGCAAGUUUUGAAUCCCCCCUCAGCCGUGAAGCUCACUGGGGGGCCUUGGACCACUCAGGCCCCAUCUCUUAGCCUAAACUACCCCACAGGGUUGCUGUAAGGGUGAAAUGGGGAGGAGCCGAGGGGGAGAACCAUGUGCAACACCUUGAGAUCCUUAGAAGAUGAAGGUGGUAUAUAAAUGUAAUAAAUAAUAAUAAAAUCUCUUUGGCUGAAUUUUUACUGCUCUCGUACAUUUGGAAUAGUUUCACGUGUUUUUUAAUCGCAAUAAGCUUUUCUGUUUUUAUGACUGGAUGCUGAACUUCUCUAGCCUGCUUGGUGAUGGGUGGGUGAGGAAUAUUACAAAUAAAUAACAAUAGGAAGCUAGUUCUGUACUUUUUUGGUUUAACAACAAUCUGAAUCAAAAUGCCACUAAUCAACCAGUUUCAGGGCACAAUUCAAAAGAAUCUCAUCUCGAUGUCCAUACAGGGAAUCAUUAAGACAGUUGAGAUGCAGGUGCAAGAACCGUUUUAUCCCUUCAUAAAUUGGUAUCAAAUUUCA